GGUACAGUCAUAUUCUUCUGAAAGCAUGGCUCAAUAAAUGAACACUCUACAUUUCAGGUAGCCAGCCAACACAACAUUGAGAUCACGUUUACAGAUACACAGACAGAGAAACUGCCAAGGUAACUGUGUCUCAGAUAGAUGGCUGACAAGCAGAUCAGUUUACCUGCCAAAUUGAUCAACGGGGGAAUUGCUGGACUGAUUGGUGUGACAUGUGUAUUUCCUAUUGACCUAGCCAAGACCCGUCUCCAGAACCAGCAAAAUGGUUCCCGUCUCUACACCAGCAUGUCAGAUUGCCUUAUCAAGACCAUCCAAUCAGAGGGGUACUUUGGCAUGUACAGAGGUGCUGCUGUGAACCUGACUCUGGUCACUCCAGAGAAGGCCAUCAAACUAGCUGCCAAUGACUUCUUUAGACAGCACCUGUCCAAGGAUGGUCAGAAGCUUAGCCUGCUGAGGGAGAUGCUGGCGGGUUGUGGUGCUGGUACAUGUCAGGUCAUCAUCACCACUCCCAUGGAGAUGCUAAAGAUUCAGUUACAGGAUGCAGGGCGGAUAGAGGCUCAGAGGAAGCUGAUGUCCCAGGCUGCAGUUAGGGUCCCUGGGGGCCCAGUGGAGUUGAGGUCCCAUACAGCAAUGCAGCUCACCCGGGAGCUUCUGAGGAGCCAGGGCAUUGCAGGGCUCUACAAGGGCCAGGGGGCCACACUCCUGAGGGACGUGCCAUUCUCCAUAAUCUACUUCCCCCUGUUUGCCAAUCUGAACAGUCUUGGUGGCUGUGGGGCUGAUGGCCCCGCUCCCUUUUAUGUGUCCUUUGCAUCAGGCUGCAUCGCUGGCAGUACAGCUGCUGUGGCAGUUAAUCCUGUGGAUGGUAAGGACAGUCGUGUGUGUGUAUACAGGUAUGAGUGUAUAUACAGUUGUGUGGUUUUUCCGUGCAUCGGCAAGACAGAACAGCUGCCUCCGGUAAAGACAAGAGGUGGAGGUCUGUGUCUAUUUGUCAAUAACAGCUGGUGCACAAAAUCAAAUAUUAAGGAAGUCUCAAGGUUUUGCUCACCUGAGGUAGAGUAUCUCAUGAUAAGCUGUAGACCACACUAUAUUUUUCGUAGCUGUCUAUUUACCACCACAAAGCGAUGCUGGCACUAAGACCACACUCAAUGAGCCGUAUAAAGCCAUAAGCAAACAAGAAAAUGCUCAUCCAGAGGCGGUGCUCCUAGUGACCGGGGACUUUAAUGCAGAGAAACUAAAAUCCGUUUUACCUGUUACAUGUGCAAAAAGAGUGGAGAAAACUCUAGACUACCUUUACUCCAAACACAAAGACGCAUACAGAGCUCUCCCUCAUCCUCCAUUUGGCAAAUCUGACUAUAAUUAUAUCCUCCUGAUUCCUGCUUACAAGCAAAAACUAAAACAGGAAGUACCAGUGACUCUCUCAAUACAGAGGUGGUCAGAUGGCACAGAUGCUAAGCUACAGGACUAUUUUGCUAGCAAAGACUGGAAUAUGUUCCAGGACUCAUCCAGUUUCAUUGAGGAAUAUUACGUACAUACCCCAACCAGAAGCCAUGGAUUGCAGGCAACAUCCGCACUGAGCUAAAGGGUAGGGCUGCCGCUUUCAAGGAGCAAGACUCUAACCCGGACGCAAAUAAGAAAUCCUGCUAUGCCCUCAGAUGAACCAUCAAACAGGCCAUGUGUUAAUACAGUACUAAGAUUGAGUCCUAUUACACCGGCUCCAACGCUCGUCGGAUGUGGCAAGGCUUGCAUAAUAUUACGGACUUCAAAGGGAAGUCCAGCCGUGAGCUGACCAGUGACACAAGCCUACCAGAAGAACAAAAUUACUUCUAUGCGUGCUUCAAGGCAAGCAACACUGAAGCAUAGAUGAGAGCACCAGCAGUCGAUGUGACUAAGACCUUUAAAAAAAAAUGUUUACCCCCUUUUUGUCCCAUCGGUGCAACUCCCCUACUGGCUCGGGAGGUGAAGGUCGAGUCAUGCAUCCUUUGAAACAUGAACCACCAAACCGUGCUUCUUAACACCCACCCACUUAACCCGGAAGCCAUCCGCACCAAUGUGUUGGAGGAAACCUCGCCAAUUGUGUGCCGCCCUUUGGGAAGAUCAUGACCAGUUCUGAUACAGCCCGGGAUUGAACAUGGGUCCGUAAUGAUAACUCUAGCACUGCGAUGCAGUGCAUUAGACCACUGUGCCACUCGGGAGGCCCAUGAGUAGGAUCUUUAAACAGGUAAACAUUCACAAGGCCGCAGGGCCAGAUGGUUACCAGGACGUGUACUCUGGGCAUGCACUGACCAACUGGCAAGUGCCUUCACUGAUAUUUUCAACCUGUCCCUGGCUGAGUCUGUAAUACCUACAUGUUUCAAGCAGCCUAUAGGGAGGAGGUCAGAGACCUGAAAGUGUGGUGCCAGGGCAACAACACAAUCAUGUGAUUAAGACAAAGGAGAGGCUAGUGCGUACGGACCAGUACAUCACUGGGGCCAAGCUUCCUGUCAUCCAGGACCUAUGUACCAGUCAGUGUCAGAGAAAUGCCCUAAGUCUUAUUUUUCUUAAAACUGCAUUGUUGGUUAAGGGCUAAUAAGUAAGCAUUUCACGGUAAGGUCUACCUGUUGUAUUCAGCACAUGUGACAAAUAAAAUGUGAUUUGAUUAUGCCUGCCAUGUGCCCUGUAAGUCUAUUGAUACAGUAUGUGUGUCCUAGUGAUUAAGACCAGAAUUCAGACCAUGACACGGGGAAGUCAGGAGGACACCUACGGCGGAGUGACAGACUGCAUCAGGAAGAUUCUGCGCCAAGAGGGUCCCUCUGCUUUCCUGAAGGGAGCGUACUGCCGUGCUCUGGUCAUUGCUCCCCUCUUUGGCAUCGCACAGGUGGUCUACUUCCUGGGAGUGGGAGAGUUCCUUCUCAGCUUCCUGCCUCAACAGAACAACUAGUCUUGCACUCUCACACACAGCCCACAUUGGAGCCAG